rnacentral:rRNA from 1 species
CCUACGGGGGACAGCAGUGGGGAAUAUUGCGCAAUGGGCGAAAGCCUGACGCAGCGACGCCGCGUGAGGGAUGAAGGUCUUCGGAUCGUAAACCUCUGUCAGCAGGGAAGAACGGUCACUGUGCUAAUCAGCAGUGAAUUGCCGGUACCUGCAAAGGCAGCACCGGCUAACUCCGUGCCAGCAGCCGCGGUAAUCCGGAGGGUGCGAGCGUUAAUCGGAAUUACUGGGCGUAAGGCGCUCGUAGGCGGGAUGUCAAGUCAAGGGUGAAAUCCCCGCGCUAAACGUGGGAACUGCCUUUGAAACUGGCAAACUGGAGUGUGUGAGCGGAUAGUGGAAUUCCAGGUGUAGGAGUGAAAGCCGUAGAUAUCUGGAGGAACAUCAGUGGCGAAGGCGACUAUCUGGCACAUAACUGCCGCUGAGGAGCGAAAGCGUGGGUAGCAAACAGGAUUAGAUACCCGGGUAGUC